AUCUUUAAAACGUACUUUUUAAUUUUUUUAACAAGUGUGUUUCAACUACGAGGUUAUAUGAACCCUCAGGGUGUCGGUGAUUUAGAAAAUUCCAAGCCAGCGCCCAUCUUCGAACCUGGGACCUGUACCUACAGUGAUGAACCCCCUGUCAAAGCCUGAACCGUACCGCCACCGAAGGGUUUGGAGAGAUUGUAAUAUAACUUACCCUGAGGAAGGCCUGGGAUUGUUGUUAGGUCUCAAAAUGGAUGAUUUAUGGCCCGAAGAGUUGACUCGGACAUGAGACGCAUUGCGGCUUAAAUGCUGGGCCUGUGAAAUGAAACAUGUGAAUUUGCUUCCCUCGAAAAAGCUGAAUAUCUCAACUCAAAAAUUUAAGUUCUAAACAGGGAAACAUAUUUUGAGCUUCUCAACGCCUAAGAAGAGAGGCAGGGCAGUUUAUAAAUGGGUCAGAAGCGGUUUAAUGGUAUCUCUCUAAUGGUAUAAUAAUAAGAAAGUUUGGAGAGCUUGCUGCAGGAAAUGGCUUGUCAUCAACAUAAGUUUCAUUUUCGGACUAACCUGUUUCCUUUGAAUCAAAAAUUAAAUAAAAGAGCGUAAACGGUUUUUCGUGAUGUCUUUUCUGAUUAGACAGGGAAAUUCAUCACAAGACUCGUACGUUCAGCAAAAACUCUUUAUUUCACAAUUAAUCAAUCUUUUUACGUAACG